AUGGUUGAGGAGACGAUCAACUUUGUGGUAAAUCUCUUCUACAACGCCAAGCCAAUGUCCAGCCCAGCUGCUGACAUGCAGGAAGAAAACCUCAGCGAGAGGGGUCUAGAGCUGACCGUGGACCCACACCGAGGUUCAUCCAUCGCAGAGCCCGGGUCACGGGAGGAGACUGCCAUGACCCCCGCCCUCACACGCCUGCUCUGCCUGGCCCCUCCCAAACCCACCCUCUGGCUGAGCCAGGCUCUGUGAUCAUCCGGGAGCCCGUGACCAUCUGGUGUCGGGGACCCUGGAGGCCCAGGAGUACCGACUGGAUAAAGAGGGAAGCACAGACCCUGGACACACAGAAACCACUGGAGCCCAAAACAAGGCCAGAUUCUCCAUCCCAUCACGCAGAGCACCAUGCGGGAGAUUCCGCUGUUACUAUCACAGCCCUGAAGGCUGGUCAGAGACAGCGACCCCCUGGCUGGUGGUGACAGGGAGCUCCAGCAAACCCACCCUCUCAGCCCUGCCCAGCCCUGUGGUGGCCUCAGGAGGGAACGUGACCCUCCGAUGUGGCUCACCGAGGGAUAUCAGCAUUUUGUUCUGAUUGAGGAAGGAGAACACAGGCUCCCCCGGACCCUGGACUCACAGCCUCCACAGUGGGUGGUUCCAGGCCCUGUUCCCUGUGGCCCCCGUGAUCCCCAGCCACAGGUGGAUUCAGAUGCUAUUACUAUUAUAGGAACACACGCCCAGUGUGGUCCCACCCCAGUGACCUCCUGGAGAUUCUGGCCUCAGGCCUGUCUAGGAAGCCCUCCCUCCUGACCCUGCAGAGCCCUGUCAUGGCCCCUGGAGAGACCCUGACCUUGCAGUGUGGCUCUAACGUCGGCUACGACAGAUUUGCUCUGUACAAGGAGGGCGGACGUGACUUCCUCCAGCGCCCUGGCCAGCAGCGCCAGGCUGGGCUCUCCCAGGCCAACUUCACCCUGGGUCCCGUGAGGCGCUCACACAGGGGCCAGUACAGAUGCUACAGUGCACACAACCUCUCCUCCGAGUGGUCGGCCCCCAGUGAUCCCCAGGACAUCCUGAUCUCAAGACAGAUCUAUGAUGUGGUCUCCAUCUUGGUGCAGCCGGGCCCCACGGUGGCCUCAGGAGAGAACGUGACCCUGCUGUGUCAGUCAUGGGGGCAGUUCCACACUUUCCUCCUGACCAAGGGGGGGCAGCCCAUCCCCCGCUACAUCUGAGAUCAGAGCACCGAGCUCCUAAGUACCAGGCUGAAUUCCCCAUAAGUCCUGUGACCUCAGCCCACGCGGGGACCUACAGGUGCUACGGCUCACGCAGCACCGACCCCCACCUGCUGUCUUUCCCCAGUGACCCCCUGGAGCUCGUGGUCUCAGGACCCUCUGGAGGCUCCAACCCCCCACCCACAGGGCCACCCUCCACCCCUGAGGUCCUGAGGACCAGCCCCUCAACCCCUCAGGGUCAGGCGAGUGACCUCCUGGAGCUCGUGAUCUCAGGAGCAGCCGAGACCCUCAGCCCAUCACAAAACAAGUCAGACCCCAAGACUGCCUCACACCCACAGGAUUACACAGUGGAGAAUCUCAUCCGCAUGGGCAUGGCUGGCUUGAUCCUGGUGGUCCUCGGGAUUCUAUUAUUUGAGGCUCAGCACAGCCAGAGAAGCCCCCAAGAUGCAGCCAGCAGAUGAACAGCAGAGAGGACAAUGCACCAUUCAGAGACAUGGAGCCUCAGGGACAGAUUUGAUGAUCCCAGGAGGUUCUGGAAGAAAAUCUACAGCCUGUGCUUUCUGGACUGUCUGCCGAUCAUUCCCGAAGAGAGGGAUCAAUGUUGAGGUAUUCAUUUCGCAUGACGAAAAUGACAACAUCAAAGUCAUAGGUAGUAGGGCUGACUUAGAAAUCCAAUACAUCCGUGGUAGGACUGCAAAUUACUUCAAUCAAUUUGGGGAGAAUAUCAGAAGUACCUAACUAAAAAGAAGAGAGACACAGCUAUGAACAUAAAGUACAGAACCUAGAGGAAAAUGUGUUCAUAUGGUGAAGUUCCAUUCACAACAACAUGGACAGGACUGGUGCUCAUAUUAGACACCAGCCGUAAAGCCCAAAAAUACAUCUAAAACAAAAGAAACAAGUGUGGUUCAAUUCCACCAUGGGAUACUACGAGGACAUGCAAAGGCACAGACGAAAUCUACAAAGAAUAAUGCAAACCAACCUUCGAUCAUGAGGUUGAGUAAAGAAACAAGAGUAUAAAAAGAAGCCGUGCACAGCUAUUUCAGCACAUGAAGCUCAAAAGGAGGCAACAUUUAUUUUGUAGGGAGGCAAACUCAAAAUAGACCCCAUAAAUAAAGGAAGUAGAUAACUCUAUGUAAUCCAAAAUAGUGGUUACACAUCAGGAAAUACUGGGAGGUUCUGUUCAACAUGGAAACCACAAGGGCCGCCGGACACGGGCACUGGAACGCUGACUUUCAUUUGGUGACCCACAAUCCACUUCAAAUUAUUGGUCAAUACUACACUUUUGAUUUGAUAGAGAAGAAUCAUACAUAUUUCUUGGGAGCAUGUGGUAAUCUGAUUCACGCAUGCAAUGUGUAAUGAUCCAAUAAAGGUUCCCAGGACACCCAUCACCCCAAACAUUUAUAUAUACAUAUUUUUUUUCAGACCGAGUCUUUCACUGUCGCCCAGGCUGGAGUGCAGGGGCACGAUCUUGGCUCACUGCAACCUAUGCCUCCCAGGUUCAACCGGUUCUCCUCUCUCAGCCUCCCGUGUAGCUAGGAUUACAGGUGUGCACCAAAACGCCUGGCUAAUUUUUGUAUUUUUAUUGGAGACGGGGUUUCACCAUGUUGCCUAGGCUAGUCUCGAAAUACUGACCUUAGGUGAUCCACCUGCCUAGGCCUCCCAAGGUGCUGGGAUUUCAGCUGUGAGCCAUUGCAGCUGGCAAACAUUUAUAAUUUCUGUGUUGAGAACAUUUCAAAUCUUCACUUCUAGCUCAUGUGGAAUAUACUAUAAUUUGUUGCUAACUGUGGUCACCCUACUGAGCUCUCAGGCCCUGGAACUUACUCCUCUCCACCUGUAUUUAUGCACCCAUCCACCAACCUCUCUCCAUCCCCCUCCUCCACACUCCCUUGUCAGCCCUCUGUUGACCACCAUUCUACUCUCUGCCAUCACGAGGCCCAGUUUUGUAGCUCUCGCAUGUGUGAGAACAUGCAAUGUUCCGCUUUCUGGGCCUGGCUUAUUUCACUUUACCUAAUGUCUUCCAGAUUCAUCUAUGUUGCUGAACAUGGUACAAUUUCCUUCUUUUUAUGCCUGAAUAUUAUUUCAUGGUGUUUAUAGACCACAUGUUCGUUAUCCAUUCAUUCAUUGAUGGACAUAGGUUGAUUCCAUAUCUUGGCUAUUGUGAAUACUGCAGCAAUAAACAUGGCGAUGCAGACA